rnacentral:rRNA from 1 species
UGGUGGAAUGAUUUGUCUGGUUAAUUCCGUUAGCAAACGAGACCUCAGCCUGCUAAAUAGAGUGUACAUUCGAAAGAAUGUAUUCGACUUCUUAGAGGGACAUUUCGGUUUUACCGGAAGGAAGUUUGAGGCAAUAACA